rnacentral:tRNA from 1 species
GCCUUCGUAAUGUAGUGGUCAGCAAGCUCGACUCGAAUUAGAGAGGUCUGUGGUUCGAAUCUCAGCGAGGGCA